rnacentral:rRNA from 1 species
GACAGAGGGUGCAAACGUUGUUCGGAAUUACUGGGCGUAAAGCGCGUGUAGGCCGCUUGGAAAGUCGGAUGUGAAAGCCCUGGGCUCAACCUAGGAAGUGCAUUCGAAACUUCCAAGCUCGAGUUUCGGAGAGGAAGGCGGAAUUCUCGGUGUAGAGGUGAAAUUCGUAGAUAUUGGGAGGAACACCAGUGGCGAAGGCGGCUCGCUGGACCGGUUCUGACGCUGAGGCGCGAAAGCGUGGGGAGCAAACAGGGAUUAGAAU